rnacentral:rRNA from 1 species
CUAGCCGUAAACGAUGGGUACUAGGUGUAGGGGGUAUCGACCCCCCCUGUGCCGGAGUUAACGCAAUAAGUACCCCGCCUGGGGAGUACGGCCGCAAGGUUGAAACUCAAAGGAAUUGACGGGGGCCCGCACAAGCGGUGGAGUAUGUGGUUUAAUUCGACGCAACGCGAAGAACCUUACCAAGGCUUGACAUUGAGUGAAAGGCUGAGAGAUCAGUCCCCCUCUUCGGAGGCACGAAAACAGGUGG